rnacentral:rRNA from 1 species
AACGAACGCUGGCGGCAGGCCUAACACAUGCAAGUCGAACGAACUCUUCGGAGUUAGUGGCGGACGGGUGAGUAACACGUGGGAACGUGCCUUUAGGUUCGGAAUAACUCAGGGAAACUUGUGCUAAUACCGAAUGUGCCCUUCGGGGGAAAGAUUUAUCGCCUUUAGAGCGGCCCGCGUCUGAUUAGCUAGUUGGAGGUGUAAUGGACCCCCAAGGCGACGAUCAGUAGCUGGUCUGAGAGGAUGACCAGCCACAUUGGGACUGAGACACGGCCCAAACUCCUACGGGAGGCAGCAGUGGGGAAUCUUGCGCAAUGGGCGAAAGCCUGACGCAGCCAUGCCGCGUGGAUGAUGAAGGUCUUAGGAUUGUAAAAUCCUUUCACCGGUGAAGAUAACGACUGUAGCCGGAGAAGAAGCCCCGGCUAACUUCGUGCCAGCCGCCGCAGUAAUAC